UACGUAGGGGGGCAAGCGUUGUCCGGAUUUAUUGGGCGUAAAGAGCGUGUAGGCGGCCAGACAGGUCCGUUGUGAAAAACUCGAGGCUCAAACCUCGAGACGUCGAUGGAAACCGUCUGGCUAGAGUCCGGAAGAGGAGAGUGGAAAUUCCUGGUGUAGCGGUGAAAUGCGCAGAUAUCAGGAAGAACACCCGUGGCGAAGGCGGCUCUCUGGGACGGUACUGACGCUGAGACGCGAAAGCGUGGGGAGCGAACAGG
rnacentral:rRNA from 1 species